rnacentral:rRNA from 1 species
CCGUAAAGCGACUGCGGAGGACAUUAAUGAGUUUUGAAAAUGGGGAGCCUGUUGCUGGUGUGGAAACACGCACUUGUGCACGGCUUUCUGUGCUCAAUCCCACUCAACCCCCUGUGCACCUUAUCGAAGUUUAGUAGUCUCUUAGGAUUACAAGUAGUGAGUAAGGCGAAAGCGGUCUUGUUAGUAGUCUGAAAGCAAAAGUAAGCCUCUAGAGGUGAAAGCUUUGACUUUUAUUACAAAUGCUUUGUAUGUCUUGUGGAAUAUGGGUAUUAGCUCCUUGUGAGCGAAAUAAAUACAACUUUCAACAACGGAUCUCUUGGCUCUCGCAUCGAUGAAGAACGCAGCGAAAUGCGAUAAGUAAUGUGAAUUGCAGAAUUCAGUGAAUCAUCGAAUCUUUGAACGCACCUUGCGCCCUUUGGUAUUCCGAAGGGCAUGCCUGUUUGAGUGUCAUGUUAAUCUCAAACCCCUCUUGUCUUUGUUGACUCGGUCGGUUUGGACUUGGAGGUUGUGCUGGUUGGUAACCUACAUUUUUGUUGUAGGUUUAAUCGGCUCCUCUUAAAUGCAUUAGCUGGACUUUGGUUCGCAUCAAUGGGUGUAAUAGUAAAGUGUUUCACCGGGUGCUUGUCUAAGGAGUCUGCUUCUAAUCGUCCUUUAGGACAAGAUCUUGGCUUUUGACCUCAAAUCAGGUAGGACUACCCGCUGAACUUAAGCAUAUCAAA